rnacentral:rRNA from 1 species
CCCUUAGAUGUUCUGGGCCGCACGCGCGCUACACUGACGAAGUCAGCGAGCAUGUCCUACGCCGACAGGUGCGGGGAAUCUUGUCAAACUUCGUCGUGAUGGGGAUUGAUUAUUGAAAUUCUUGAUCAUCAACGAGGAAUUCCUAGUAAGCGCAAGUCAGCAGCUUGCGUUGAUUACGUCCCUGCCCUUUGUACACACCGCCCGUCGCUACUACCGAUUGAAUUGUUUAGUGAGAUCUUCGGAUUGGCGCCACUGCGGCUCAGCAAUGGGCUCGGUGGAUGCCGAAAAGUUGAUCAAACUUGAUCAUUUAGAGGAAGUAAAAGUCGUAACA